rnacentral:hammerhead_ribozyme from 1 species
AUUCAGCCGACGAGUCCCAAAUAGAACGAAACGUGCGUCCUGUAU